AUCCAUCUGACGAGUCUCCGAUAGGACGAAAAGCGCGUCCUGGAU
rnacentral:hammerhead_ribozyme from 1 species